UAAUACCUAUAGGUUACAGAUGCUGGAAUGCUCUGUAACUCAAAGCUCCGGCGCCUUAGGAUGGAUCUGCGGCCGAUUAGGUUGUUGUUGGGGUAACGGCCCAACAAGCCAGUAGUCGGUACGGGUUGUGGGAGCAAGAGCCCGGAGUUGGAUUCUGAGACACGAAUCCAGGCCCUACGGGGCGCAGCAGGCGCGAAAACUUUACAAUGCGGGCAACCGUGAUAAGGGAACCUCGAGUGCCUGUAUAUGCAGGCUGUCCAGGUGUCUAAAGCACACCUGAAGAAAGGGCCGGGCAAGACCGGUGCCAGCCGCCGCGGUAAUACCGGCGGCUCGAGUGGUGGCCACUUUUAUUGGGCUUAAAGCGUUCGUAGCUGGGUUAUUAAGUCCCUUGGGAAAUCCGACAGCUUAACUGUCGGGCGUCUAAGAGAUACUGGUAAUCUUGGAACCGGGAGAGGUGAGGGGUACUUCGGGGGUAGGAGUGAAAUCCUGUAAUCCUCGAGGGACCACCUGUGGCGAAGGCGCCUCACCAGAACGGCUUCGACAGUGAGGGACGAAAGCUGGGGGAGCAAACCGGAUUAGAUACCCGGGUAGUCCCAGCCGUAAACGAUGUGCGUUAGGUGU
rnacentral:rRNA from 1 species